CGACUGACUGCUUCAUUAUUAAUAUGAAAGUAAAACUCGUUCUGAGAUCUCAAUGUGUCAACGAUGUUCAUUGGGUACCUACGCUGUACCAGACACCAUUCUAGAAGCAGGAAAUACAGUAAAGAACAAGACAGCAUUAACUCACAUGGAAAAUCAUCCUGAAUGGUCACAGGAGUGUUGAAAUGCUCUUUGUAAAUCUUCAUCAUCUGGAAUAUGAAGAAAACUUUAACAAUAUUCUAGCAGCAGUCUCUUCUCUGGGGAUGGAAUAUGCAGU